UAUAUUUAAAUAAGAAGGAGGGAAAAAAUAUAAGCGUACUCUGGAACAGACAGGGUCUAAUAAGCCAGAAUAUCCUAAGUUAGCGGGGGGGGGGGGGGGGGAAAAGUGAUUAUUAUUACAGUAAGCAUAACUGCCUGCUUAGAAGGAGAAAAAUGACUAGGCAAAUUAUGGUCCUCAGUAGACUAUUACACAGCAAUUCAAAAUCUGUUCUGCAUAGCCUUAGGUAAAAAGGGUUGGACAGGAGAACUUCCCCCAGUGGGUAGAACUCUGGGCUGGGACCACUGCUCCAUUUUCAUCUGUUUUACAUAUUGGGAUUCCAAAAGAGGAAGGACGAAAGCUAAAAACGUCUAUCUAGAAUUUCAUGGUAUAUACACAUCAAAACAUAAAAUUAUAAAUGUGUGCAGUUUAUUGUAUGUCAAUUACACCUCAACAAAGAUGAUCCCAAAAAGUCUAUCCAAUGGCUACUAGUAAGAAUGGUUAUGGUGGUAGCAAAAAGGCCAAAAGAA